rnacentral:rRNA from 1 species
ACAUACGACCAUCGGCAGAGAGAUUUUCCGGAUCCCGUCCGUACUCCAGCAGACAAACCUCUGACCGGCGGCGUAGUAGGCAGGUGGGUGACCACUGGCGAAUGUCCGCUGUUGUAUGUU